rnacentral:rRNA from 1 species
CGGAGAUGAGGUGCUUGCACCUUAUCUUAGCGGCGGACGGGUGAGUAAUGCUUAGGAAUCUGCCUAUUAGUGGGGGACAACAUUUCGAAAGGAAUGCUAACACCGCAUACGCCCUACGGGGGAAAGCAGGGGAUCUUCGGACCUUGCGCUAAUAGAUGAGCCUAAGUCAGAUUAGCUAGUUGGUGGGGUAAAGGCCUACCAAGGCGACGAUCUGUAGCGGGUCUGAGAGGAUGAUCCGCCACACUGGGACUGAGACACGGCCCAGACUCCUACGGGAGGCAGCAGUGGGGAAUAUUGGACAAUGGGCGCAAGCCUGAUCCAGCCAUGCCGCGUGUGUGAAGAAGGCCUUUUGGUUGUAAAGCACUUUAAGCGAGGAGGAGGCUACUUGGAUUAAUACUCUAGGAUAGUGGACGUUACUCGCAGAAUAAGCACCGGCUAACUCUGUGCCAGCAGCCGCGGUAAUACAGAGGGUGCGAGCGUUAAUCGGAUUUACUGGGCGUAAGGCGUGCGUAGGCGGCUUUUUAAGUCGGAUGUGAAAUCCCUGAGCUUAACUUAGGAAUUGCAUUCGAUACUGGGAAGCUAGAGUAUGGGAGAGGAUGGUAGAAUUCCAGGUGUAGCGGUGAAAUGCGUAGAGAUCUGGAGGAAUACCGAUGGCGAAGGCAGCCAUCUGGCCUAAUACUGACGCUGAGGUACGAAAGCAUGGGGAGCAACAGGAUUAGAUACCCUGGUAGUCCAUGCCGUAAA